rnacentral:rRNA from 1 species
CACGUAGGCACCAAGCGUUGUCCGGAUUUAUUGGGCGUAAAGAGCUCGUAGGCGGUUCGGUAAGUCGGGUGUGAAAACUUUGGGCUCAACCCAAAGCCUGCACUCGAUACUGCUGUGACUUGAGUCCGGUAGGGGAGUGGGGAAUUCCAGGUGUAGCGGUGAAAUGCGUAGAUAUCUGGAGGAAUACCGGUGGCGAAGGCGGCAUCCUGGACCGACAUUGACGCUGAGGAGCGAAAGCUAGGGGAGCAAACGGG